CUUGGUGUGUCCCCUUCUCUUGGAUCUACUGCAGUUGACAGCAGAUAACUGAAAGCUCGGAAAGCGAAACCGUGGAUAAGCAGGGGAACUGUGGCAUCCCAUUUAAAAUUGCUUCUGAAGAGAAGCAUGAGGUUACAUCUGUAAUCUCCCUGCAGCAGAGUCAACUGCAUAAGAAACCAAAAGACACACCUGCUCCAUGCCAGCUUCGAUAAUUUCUUUGUACCUUCGGCGAAAGAAGCCCAUCUGAAAGGCAGAAAGAAAGAGAAGCUGAGUUAGAAGUGCUGAAGAAUCAGCCAUUGUGACCCCAAGGCAGUCUGUCCCUGGCCUAAGCCACCACAUAAAAAGUCAGACCAUCUGCUGGAAGAACCACAUGGAGAGGCCCUGAGUCAACAUGGAGAGGAAGAAGGACUUGACUGAAUCCAGCCUUCCAGCUGUCCCUACCAAGGUGCCAGGCAUGAGAAUGAAGCUGUCUUGAACUCUGAAGACCAGCUUAGCCACCAGGUAAAUGCCACUAAGUGACCUCACUCAAUGUCAUGUGGGACGGAAGAAUCACCCCGCCAAACCCUUCCUGGAUCCCUGACCCAGAAAUUUGUCAGAUGUAAUGGUUGUGAAAAGCCAUUCAAUUUGGGGGCAGUUUGUAUGCAGCAUAGCUAGCUGGUAUGAUACAACAGCCUGCAAUUCAGGCAGCAGCAGCACUAACAACGAUGAA
rnacentral:lncRNA from 10 species